UACGGAGGGAGCUAGCGUUGUUCGGAAUUACUGGGCGUAAAGCGCGCGUAGGCGGCCUUGCAAGUUAGAGGUGAAAGCCCCCGGCUCAACCGGGGAGUGCGGCUGCGAACUGGGUUUCUUGAGGACGAUAGAGGAGAGUGGAAUUCCUGGUGUAGCGGUGAAAUGCGUAGAUAUCAGGAGGAACACCCGAGGCGAAGGCGGCUCUCUGGGUCGUACCUGACGCUGAGGCGCGAAAGCGUGGGGAGCGAACGGG
rnacentral:rRNA from 1 species